GUGUGGGCAAGCAUAAAUGGUUGCUCAUAAUCACAAAAACAGUUCAAGAUACCCCACAUCACACAGAGCAAAGAAAGAAGAAACCAAAUAGAGAAAGAGAGCUUUCCUUGAGCACCACUUUCUUUCAUCAGAAGCCCCUUUGGAAAGAUCCUCUUACAUUUCAUUGACCAGAACUGGCCACCUGCCUGCUCUGAAAGGCAAGAGAAGCUGAAGAGAGCAGCACCCUUUGGAGACUAUCUGACACUCCAGUAAAGGCAUAGAGCUGCUUUGAACAGUCCAAGUUAAUUGGAAAUCUCAACUAGAACCAGGCUGCACUUUCCAAGACCAUUUGAAAAUUCAUGAUCAAUAUUCAAAUUGCCCCUGUGAAUCCAGCUAUAUUGGGGUCUUCACACUAUUUAAAGUCACAGCCUUGUCUUUGAGAGCCCUGUAUUAGACCACUGAUCUGCGAAUUACCCUAAAAACUCACAAAAUGUGUAAAGCUUUCAGAUUGUGGAAAGGCCCUCUCUUGAUUAAAAGAGAAUCUUCU